rnacentral:rRNA from 1 species
CCUACGGGAGUCUGCAGUGAGGAAUAUUGGUCACUGGGCGCGAGCCUGAACCAGCCAAGUCGCGUGAGGGAAGACGGUCCUAUGGAUUGUAAACCUCUUUUGUCGGGGAGCAAAAGACGCCACGCGUGGCGUUCUGAGAGUACCCGAAGAAAAAGCAUCGGCUAACUCCGUGCCAGCAGCCGCUGUAAUACGGAGGAUGCGAGCGUUAUCCGGAUUUAUUGGGUUUAAAGGGUGCGCAGGCGGAUUUUUAAGUCAGCGGUAAAAUCGUGGGGCUCAACCCCAUCCAGCCGUUGAAACUGGGGAUCUAGAGUGUGCGAGAGGUAUGCGGAAUGCGUGGUGUAGCGGUGAAAUGCAUAGAUAUCACGCAGAACCCCGAUUGCGAAGGCAGCAUACCGGUGCACAACUGACGCUCAGGCACGAAAGCGUGGGUAUCGAACAGGAUUAGAUACCCUUGUAGUC